rnacentral:misc_RNA from 1 species
GAGCGCUGCUGGUCUUCGGACGUAGCUCGUUCGUAAUAUAUUAGCAUCUCUAAUAUUCGAAACCGGAUUGACUUAGUGUAAUAGACUAUUCGCUAAGGACACUUUUACGAGUGGCCGGAGGAGAAACUGUAGAAGCUUCCAAUCAAGUAGUCAACUUUAGAUUAGACCUCAGAUCAGGCAGGAUUACCCGCUGAACUUAA